GACGAACGCUGGCGGCGUGCUUAACACAUGCAAGUCGAACGGAAAGGCCCUGCUUUUGUGGGGUGCUCGAGUGGCGAACGGGUGAGUAACACGUGAGUAACCUGCCCUUGACUUUGGGAUAACUUCAGGGAACUGGGGCUAAUACCGGAUAGGAGCUCCUGCUGCAUGGUGGGGGUUGGAAAGUUUCGGCGGUUGGGGAUGGACUCGCGGCUUAUCAGCUUGUUGGUGGGGUAGUGGCUUACCAAGGCUUUGACGGGUAGCCGGCCUGAGAGGGUGACCGGCCACAUUGGGACUGAGAUACGGCCCAGACUCCUACGGGAGGCAGCAGUGGGGAAUAUUGCACAAUGGGCGGAAGCCUGAUGCAGCAACGCCGCGUGCGGGAUGACGGCCUUCGGGUCGUAAACCGCUUUCGCCUGUGACGAAGCGUGAGUGACGGUAAUGGGUAAAGAAGCACCGGCUAACUACGUG
rnacentral:rRNA from 1 species